rnacentral:sRNA from 1 species
UUGAAGUGUUCUCUCCUUUCCAAAUCAUGUUUGACAGAUCUGCUUUUAGAAAACAAAACACUCAUUCAGAGGCCAACGUUUUUCUCAGGUAGUGUUGAGAAUAAUAGCGAGAUCACAUUCCCAUUGAAGCUAUUUAUAAGAAAAUCGGAUGGCAAAGUUUUGUAUGGUCUUGGGCCCAAAGAAAUCGCAGACAUGCUUUUUAGUUUUCUGACCUUUCCUUUGGGAGGAAUUGUGCGUAAGUUGGGAGGAAAUAGCUGUGUGGGCAGCAUCGAUGGAUUAUACAAAAGCAUUGUUGAUAUGAAUGAUGAGUUAUAUUUCAUGUCAAGAUUAACAAAAAACAGGCUUGUUGAUCCUUACUUGCUCCUUUUGAUGCCCCUGAUUCGUUUUGAAUCAUCGACAACUAAUGAAGGUAAUGAGAGGAUGUUUGUUGUUACCGAUGAUUUGGUCGUAACACAAUCAUCUCCCACUUCAGAUUCAAAUUUAAUCUCUGGUUUCGAUACUUGUUCCCUUGAUCUGAAGGAAAAGGUUGUCAGCAUUGGGCUCGUGGAGUGUCUUAAUAUACUGAAAGCAUCGAUGACGUCGACAUCUGCUCUCACAACUGGUCUCGCUCACUUGUUAUCUGAAUUUA